AUCAAUAUGUCUUCAGUCCAAGUGAGAAGUCAUAAAAAGAAAUAUUUACCCUAAAAGCUAAGAUAUGACAGCAAACGCCUUUAUUAUAGCUAUAUAUAAUUAUAACAAUUAGGGAUAUUUAGAAUCUAGUGGAUAAGGUGUCGGCUGCUAAGUUCAGGGUGGUGGGUUCGAGUCCCACUGGGGUAUCGGCCAUGGCUUCUUAGGUGGCACGUACAGUACCAGCUGGUAGGAACUACAUUUUGGACUAUUUUACUCCCUUUGCAGACGUUUUCCUUUUGCAUUCAUGACGGGAGAAUGGAGGAAAGUUCUUGUGCUGACUUUAGUAAAGGUUCUUGUGCUGAAUUUAGUAAAACAGAGGUAUAUUUUCAGAUUGUUUUGUGUUUUAUUAUUGGUAACAUAAUUACGUACAUAUAUCUCUACAGAAGUGAAAGUUAUUGUAGUUGAAGUUAACGCCUGAAAAUGCGGGUGUCUGCAUCCUCGAGGUAUUGAAUGAAUUAUGAAUUCUAUACUUUAAAUGAAUGCAGUGAAAUAGAAACAGUCAGCCAGUAGCAGGUGAAAGCUUAUUUAACGUCGCAAACAACACCAGCCACAAAGCUCUUUUGCGACAAACAAGAUAUUCAGUAGAUACUUGACUGUGCUUAUUUGACCGCCUGUUAAAGUCCUUUAAAUGCUGAUCAGUGCCAUUCUAGGAAGCUGUAAGUUCAUUUUUUCUUUGGUACGACGCGACCGGAGAUAGAGCCCCACUCCCUCACUUAUAGCCAACUUGUCAACCGAGCUGUUGAAACAUUUGUAUACAUACCAGGUAUUUUAAUAAAAUAACCUGGUUUUGCAAACAAUUGUCAUUUAUAUAUUCAGACCACCAGAGGAAGUGGUGAGAGACUGGCAAUGAUGUACUGAACGAGCAUGAUGGAAAGACAACAUAGUCAAAUGGGGACCACCAGAGGAAGUGGUGAGAGACUGGCAAUGAUGUACUGAACGAGCAUGGUGGAAAGACAACAUAGUCAAAUGGGGGUUUGUCAUAAGCCUAACUUGUGCAUAGCCUGCGUUGAUAGAGAGCCUUCAGGAUAUUUUCAUCUAUGUGACCUUACCGCCUGUAUAUUUUGUACACUACAUAUUUUUAAAAACAAUGUAGGAAGAAAUACUCUAAAUGUGGGAGUAAACUGAAGCUGUCAGAAACAUUUACAACUAUAAAGUAUUUGAUAUAUCAAUGUUAAGUUAUUGACAUCUUAUUUUUAUAUAACGUUGAACCAGCUAUAAAGAGUCAACCAUGGCUACAUCUUGUAUCUACUAAUUUACAGGACAUAAGGCAAUAUAUAUAAUGUUAAGUUUGUUUUUGAAUCAUAAUAUAUCAGGUGAACAAGAGUAAAAGUUGAGUAAAAGUC